GCCGGAGUGGCGGAAUUGGCAGACGCGCUGGAUUCAAAAUCCAGUUCUCGUUAGAGAGUGUGGGUUCGACUCCCACCUCCGGUACCA
rnacentral:tRNA from 1 species